UCCUCAUACUCUUUUCCCUGUUUCUUUUCUACUUCCCUAUCUCAUGUGUUUUCUCUCUUCCCAGUUUUGUGUCCACUUGACAGCCCAGUGUGUAAUCACCUGGGACAAUAAAAUGAUGGAAGGGGACUCAGCUCUGUGAUGUUAACUGGGGUCAGUUCCCACAGCCACUGUUCAGGGCUGCCAGAAGCCUUGGGUAGACACUACAUCACUUACAUUUGGUUUGUUCAUUCAGCAUCCUAAAUAUGGUGGUGAUAGACAUUCUGAAGACUCUUACUUUGAACCAAACAUUUUCCUCUAAUGGUUCACUGGACAACUUCUCAGACCCUGCACUUACAAAAGAGUACAUGGAGGUCUUGAUGCUUACUGUGUCAAUAAUAUUUUUGACUGUCAUCAUUCAGAAUCUAUUUCGUUUCCUCCUGGUUCUCCCAGAAGCUAAUGCCACCAGCAUAUUGCAAUUUUUGCUUGGCAUGGCCAUACUACAAGUCAAUACAUCUGUCAUGAUAACUUAUAAACUUACUCCUAUUGCAUUUCCUAUGGAACUUCUCUUGGUAAGUGAUCUCCAAAAUGCCAUUGUGAUAAUUGAACUAACAGAGAGUAUAAUAUGCUUUAUUUCAAAGAAUGUGUAACAUAUUCGUUCAAGAUGCUGUUAUAUUUACACACUGAAUCUGUGGUUAAGUCCUUUACUCCUGCAAGAUUAACUGUCUUUAGAUGUAUUGUAUACAGUUUCAGGAACAAAUGUUGUAUAAUCUCUGGUAUUGCUUCUUGUUUUCUUUCCCAGAUUAUCGGAGUCAUCGUUAUUUCUAAUUGCAGUCAUCAUCAUGCUGAAUCAGUAGUGCUGUGGUCAGUAAGAUUCCUCAGAGGUUAGUUUUCAAUGCUGGUUUUGAGGUUGUACUUUUGAGAUACGGAAGAGAUGUUUCAGCCUGUCCUUGAAAUCUGACAUGGGCUGACUUUUACAGCUAGAAGAAUAACUCUUCAAGAAUUUUCAUUACAUCAUCAUUUCUGAGAAUAUACAGAAUUCAAAUUGCAGUUUUCUGUGUUAGAUUCAGGUUUUCUUAGCACACAGAGGAAGGAAUUUGGAUAUUUUUUUUUUGAGAGCAUCUCCAGUGGGGUGCUGGAUGCCUCUGAUGAUGAUCCUGGGUUCAGAGUUAUUGUGGACAGAGCUCAGAACAGGCCUAAACUUACCUGUGCUCUCCUGUAGGUUUGUGCCUCCUACACUGUCGGAUUUAUCAGACCUGAGCAAGAUCAUACCGUAUGCCUUCUCCAUUGCUAUUGUAAGCUCUUUCCUUCUUGGUUUUGCUGGGGAGAGAUACACUUCACAAUAUUGCCAGCAAUCAGGUGAGAACAAAACUACACACACUUCCUAGGCCAAGAAGCAAGCUAAACUCGACUUGCAAAGCCACUACCUACCUGCCAGUGGUAGAAAUGCAAGGACAGAGUGAAUAUGCCAGAUGAUGGUUUUGUAGCAACUUGUUACCCUUUCCUAUUGAAAGUGUAUGUUAUAAGGCAAUAAUGUGAGGCCAAAACACAGCCGCCUUUGACCAGGAGGCCUUUGUAUGUUCCCAGUGAUUG
ensembl:lncRNA